ensembl:lncRNA
GUGCAACAAGGUGGCUCAGCCUGCUGACCUGCAUCAAGCGAGUCCUGAAUCAGUGGAAUGCGCUGCAAGCGUAUUUCGAGAGUCAUGAGGAAGUGGAAAAGCCUGGCAAGGUUAAGAUGCUGGCAGGGCAUUUAGCCAGCAAGAAGACCAAGUUCUUCUUCCUUUUCCUCUCCCAAGCGUUGAAACCACUGGCUGAUUUCAAUGUUGCAUUUCAGGCUGAAGGGGUGAUGAUACACAAGCUUCACAAGGAGAUGACCAACCUGGUAAGAAGGUGACUUGGAAGAUUUCUCCCCGCUCACCUUAUCGCUGAUGUCCCACUGAAGGACAUCAGUUUCAAGGACACAAGCCUCCAGUUGGAAAACGAUGACCUCUGUCUUGGAGAGGAAGCACAAAUGUUCUUGGAGGACAACAUUGAUGAGCUUUCCUCUUCAGUCCCAGAGCUUCUUAAGGCAGUGAGAGACUUUUUUGUAGCUGUUACCACCAAGAUGAUGUCAGCAUUUCCCCUGGACAACAUCAUGCUCCAGAACCUGACAGCGCUUGACCCAGCGUCAAGGCAUCAGUUUGCCCCAAAAUCAGUGAUAGAGCUAGGGAAAGGACUGCCACAGCUCAGCUUGGACAUGGCUAGCCUCAGGGAAGAAGUUGUAGAGUACCAGGUGGUUGACAGGGCAGAACUUCCUGAGGAAGCAAGAAUUGACAGGUUUUGGGCCAUCAUGGGAAAAGAUGCUAGGUUCAGGAAUCUGAGUAAAUUGAUGAAGGCAUUGCUGUGCAUUCCGCACAGCAAUUCCGCUUCAGAAAGGGUGUUCAGCAUGGUCAGAAAAAUAGUCACAGAAAACAGGAUGAGGAUGGACAACUCCACCCUCUGCUCACUCCUGUCCUGCAAACUAAAUUUUCCAGGACAGGCCCACACCUACGUUCCCUCAAGGAAGGUGUUACAGGCUGCAAAGCAUUGCACUUUCAACUACAAUAAGC